rnacentral:rRNA from 1 species
CUAAGAAUCUUCCGCAAUGGACGAAAGUCUGACGGAGCGACGCCGCGUGGAUGAAGAAGGCUUAACGGUUGUAAAAUCCUUUUCUGCGUGAGGAAUAAGCAUCGGAGGCAAUGCCGGUGUGAUGACGGUAGCGCAGGAAUAAGCCCCGGCCAAUUACGUGCCAGCAGCCGCGGUAACACGUAUGGGGCGAGCGUUGUUCGGAAUUAUUGGGCGUAAAGGGCGCGCAGGCGGUCAUGCAAGCUUGGUGUGAAAGACCACGGCUCAACGGUGGAAACGCGCUGAGAACUGUAUGACUUGAGUUUCGGAGGGUGAACUGGAAUUCCAGGUGUAGGGGUGAAAUCUGUAGAUAUCUGGAAGAACAUCAGUGGCGAAGGCGAGUUCCUGGCCGACAACUGACGCUGAGGCGCGAAAGCGUGGGGAGCGAACA